UAGUAAAACUAAUUGAGAAAAAAUCAAAAGUCUAUUGUUGUGUUAAAUUCUCCAUUAAUCUCACUUUUAAAUAAAUUUUCUAAAAAUAUUAAUAAAUAAAAAAUCAUAAUAAUGUAUCAAGUACUACUUUUAUUCUAUUCUACUUAUUAUUUUUUAUUUUUAUCGAUAGUCAUUGAUCCAUAAUGCCUAAAAAGUUACUUGUGUUGUAGUUUAAAUGUUUACUACCUAACCUCAUAUUAAUUUAGUAAUUUUAGUUGGAUAUUUUUUUAUUAUUACGUUUUGUGAAUUUGAUUUAUCAUAUGACAUUCAUUCUGUAUAUUUCUGUGGGUUCUGAUAACUUUGUAACAUUGAUAUACAAUUUUUGACGUAAUAGUCAUCCAAGACAUUAGACAUACCAAAAAAAAAAAACAUGAGAGUCUGUCUAUAUAUACGACUAUAUGGUAGAGAUGAGAAUUAAAGUGUUGAAUUAAAUUACUAGCAUAUUAUGAUGUGAUUGUGUACUAGAUGACGAGAGAAUAUAUAGAAUAAAAAAUUGUUUGUUACAAUAAGUUAGACAAAUUUCUAAACACAUAAGUAAUAUAACUACAUACAUUGUAUCAGUAUAUCAUAUAUUGUUGUUGUAUGUGAUCAUGAUAGUGAAAUAUUAGAAUAAUAAAUAUAUAAAUAUUCAUAUUGUACUAGAUUUGAUAGUUCGAGUUAUAGAUGAAUCUAAUCAUAAAAAAUAAUAAUUAUAUUAAAUAGAUGAAUUUAUCAAAAUGAACAUAAAAAUCAACAAAAAACUAUAGUCAUAUUUUUCAACAAUUUU
rnacentral:sRNA from 1 species